rnacentral:rRNA from 1 species
ACGUAGGGGGCGAGCGUUGUCCGGAAUUACUGGGCGUAAAGGGUGCGUAGGCGGUGAGAUAAGAUAGAUGUGAAAUCCCCGGGCUUAACUCGGGUAUUGCAUUUGUGACUGUCUUGCUAGAGUGCAGGAGAGGAAAGCGGAAUUCCUAGUGUAGCGGUGAAAUGCGUAGAUAUUAGGAGGAACACCGGUGGCGAAGGCGGCUUUCUGGACUGUAACUGACGCUGAAGCACGAAAGCGUGGGGAGCAAACAG